UACGUAGGGUGCAAGCGUUGUCCGGAAUUAUUGGGCGUAAAGGGCUCGUAGGCGGUCUGUCACGUCGGGAGUGAAAACUCGGGGCUCAACCCCGAGCCUGCUUCCGAUACGGGCAGACUAGAGGUAUGCAGGGGAGAAUGGAAUUCCUGGUGUAGCGGUGAAAUGCGCAGAUAUCAGGAGGAACACCAGUGGCGAAGGCGGUUCUCUGGGCAUUACCUGACGCUGAGGAGCGAAAGUGUGGGGAGCGAACAGG
rnacentral:rRNA from 1 species